rnacentral:lncRNA from 1 species
GGAGCGGGUGUUUACCCGGGAGCCGGACGGAGGAGGCCGGGGCCGGUCGAGCCCGGAAGGGGGGAGGGGAGCGCAGUCGGAGACCGAGGCUGAGACCUUUUCGGUUCCUUUCCCCUAAAUCGACUUCCAACCCUCGUUCCUGAGCGUGGGAGAACGCGGCAGACAGACAGAUGUCUCCCGCCCCUUAUCCUAUCCAGUUCCGCAAUUCACACUCGUUGCCAAAGAGUGGGGAGCGGGAAUGGAUACACCCGGGAACGACUGCACGUCCUGCGGGCGCCCGGGGAAGAAGGCAGCGCAGCACAAAACCUCUCCUGCGGUCACCUCCCACCCCAUCCUGCACCUGAGUUCUUGCGGGGAGGGGGUGCCCACAGCAGGUCGGGCCCAGAGGAUCCGGCAGGGGUCACUUUGAGGUGUACGGACUAGGAGUCUAUCCUCAGAACGCGUCAGCUCGACCCCAUCCCCGAUUAAUACCAGUGCGGGUCUCAGUCUCUUGUCCCUCGCGUCCCCCAGCCCUCUCCAAGGCCUCCAGAUUUAGCUCCCACUCUCCACGGGACGCAGGCCCGAGGACCCGGAAGAAGCUGAGUGGGGUCCGGUUUUCACACUUUUAUUGUAAAGCUCGGGAAUAAUUACACGGGUCUUUCAUUGACAGCUCAGCAAACAAACCGGAAACGAACCGAACCGGAGGGGGUAGGGGCGGUGCCUGCGCAUGCUCGCGGCGGGGUGGGGGGGGGUGGGGGUGGGGGUGGGGGGGUCAGAGAAAGAGAAAGACAGAAAGAGACAGAAAUCAUUACAAAUCAACGGGAUUGUGCUCGCAGCGCCAGGGAUGGGGUGGGGUGGGGCGGGGCGGGGGCCCUUCCCGGGAGGAGCGAGGCAGUGGGAAGUGGCACGAACCAAGAGAAACACGACCCCAAUGUGGGCACCCGACGCGCCCAAAACCCCCCACCCCGACCCCCACCCCCCUACACACGAGAGAGACACGGCCCCCCUCCCCACUAGAUAACCCGAGGAGACACAGUCUCCCCUCCCCAUGGGCAGACACACCCGCCCGAAACCCCAUGGGCGGGACACAGUCCCCCCUCCCAGAGAAGUCCCCAGUGGAGACGCCCCUUAAGAGACUUUCUCAUGGCCAACACAAGCCCUCCCAACACCCGGAGACAGCCCCGACCCAGGGAAGAAAUGGCUCCAGAGGCCCUACCCUCGGGAGAGAGAGGUAUCCCAGGGCUCCUAGGAGAAAAGACAACUCAGAGAUGCCCAGCCUCAUCCUAAAGUGCUGCAGGGCAGAGAAACCCCCAUAGGAGAGAUGGGGGUAGGGCCAGAAACAUCCCUUCCCAGACGUGUUUCAGAGAUAGCCCCCUUCCCUGGGAAGAGAGAUGGCCCGAAACUGACUUGCCUUAAGUACUCCCAGGAACCCUGGGAGGAAAACAGGCUCCCCAGAGAGCCUGGGUAAUUGGGGGAGACAUGCUCCCGUGGUCCUCAGCGGGAACACAUGUCCCCCGGAGACUCCCAAGGGGAGAGAUAGGGCCUAGAGAGACCCCAGAGGUGAGGGAUGCCCAGAGAACUUCCCCCCACCCCGGAAUGUGAAACAUGCUUCAAGGACCCUAGGAGAGAAAUAUGUCCCCAUAUACCCUCCCCCUACGGAGAGACAUGCCCUGAAGUAGGGGGAUGGGGACCGACUAGGUCCCCUCUGGGAAGACACAGACUGGGUCAGGCUGGGUUUGAGGGGGGCUCUCCUCUGGCCAAAUGUCGCCUAUUGGUACAUAAAACUGUACGCGACACAGGCAUUGGGGAGGGGCUUCACAGACCUAGGACCCACAGGGAUAGUCCCCAGUGCUGUCGCCAACCCCUGCCCACCUUUGGUUUCAUCUCUCCAGUGCCCAGUUGGUGACAGACUCAGUGCCCUGGCCCCAACCAGGGGGCUGGGGGCUCUGUCUUUGCCUGUGGGAAGGGCUUCUCAGCUCUCCCAGCCAUCUGGGCCACCCUCUUUCUUCUGGCUUCUCCAUUGUGCAAAAUGCUCCUCUGCUCUUCUGCUCAGUGCUCAGGGGUCUCUAAGACCAGGGCAAGGUACCCAGGCCACUAGGGGCUUCCAGUGGGAGUCCACUGACCCCAGGAAUGCCGCCUGUCUGGACCACCUUCUCCACCAAGCAAAUGGGCCUCAUACAAUCUUCUUGCCCGAAUCCUGACCUCCAGGACCCAGGACAAUCCUUGAGGCCACUGUUCCACCAGCUGGGCACCCAAUACUACCAACUCCAAGACUAUUGCACCUGCCCCAUUUGUGCAGGGGAAAGGGGCUGUCUCUUUAACAAGCCCCAAGCCCAUCUCCUGGGCCUCCCCAAGGGAAAGGAGCCUUUGGCCAACCCCUAGACCUGGCUGCUGCCACCCCAUCCCAUUCUACCCCUUCCCCUCUGUAGAAGGGCUUCGUAUGCCAGGGCUACCAGCCUAACAAUGCUCUCCUUCCUAGCACUGUCACCCCAAGCCAAGUUGGGGGUAAGGGGCAGAUAAAUAGGGUGAUUCUUCAGGCCCCUGGCUUUUCCGGGGUGGGGGUGGGGUCUCUGGGGUACAAGAGUCAAGACCCCAGCAGCACAGCUCCCAAAGGCACCAGACGACCCCGCAGCCUGUACCCACCGCUCGCAAUCUUGGACCACCUCCCCAAGCUUAGACUAAGUCAAGCAAGGGCCAUACCCUGAGUCUCCAGCCUCCCAGCCUGGGCCCCUAGGGAGCUGGAGAGGUAUGGGCCAAGGCAGUGGGGGUUUCUGGAAGGAAGAGGGGCUGAGGCUUUGAGAUGGCCACAGUGGGAGACGGGGGCUCUGCAGGACGCCCCUUACACCCUGGCCCCCUGAGGUGAAGAAGAGAACUUCACCUCAUCAUGGCUGACUGGGCUUCUCUGCCCCCCAACCUCCCUACCCCCUCCCCCAUGGGACCCCUGACCCUGACAAAGGGAAGCCCAACUGGAAGAAGGGGGCCUGGAGCCCAGGGUGCCCUGAGGCAGCCCUCCCACCCCCUGAGAUCAAGGCAAUGGUGGUUUUACAGGCUGACGGGUCAGUCAUGGCAGGGGCUGGGGGUUGAGAGGGCAGGGAGGGGGCAGGAUGCAGGCCCCCUAUAUCGGGAGCAGCACCCAGCCACCCCCUGAGCAAACCUUCCUGCUCCCAACUCACCCAACCAGGCCAGAGGCACAGUCAUCAACAAGAAAAGUUGCAAAUCAGGCAGAAAUGGGGACGUCAUUCCAAGGUCCUUAUAUACAGACACUGCAUGACCAGCAGGGAAUGGGGGCCCAGAUGGGACUAGGCGUGGGCAUGUGGCAGGCAGGUGG